AAAAAGCCUUUCCAAAAAUGAAUUUGUUAUAGAAUAUCCAAAACCAUAAAUGAAACAAAUGACAGUUGUAUAGGUCCGAAACAGAAGCCCAACCCGACCAGCCAUCGUUAUCACAAAACAGUCCUCAACCAAAAAAAAAACAAAAGAAAAGCAAGCAAACAUCACCGAACAGAACACAUUGAAUAUGAUUAAAAAAAUGGUGCCCAUAUUUCUAAUUUUCUAUCAUUACCUUGAGAUCUGAGUCAGCACCGCCCCACGCCGGCGAAGCCCCCCUCCCCACGACAACUCCACGGCGGCGGAUCGCCGGAGAUGGUGUUCAACAGCCCCAUAAUCGUCACAGUUGCCAAAGUAUCCGCGAAUGCUUGCCAAUACAUCGCUUGUAAUCCGCAAAUCCUCAACAGCGAUCAAGUUUUGCAUCUUAUCUUCUGUUUCCCCUUUCAACAGUUCCGGCGAUUCACGCUCUGUUUGUGCUCUGUUUUUUGUUGCCCUGCGAGGAAUGUGUUCGUAUCGGAUUCCGACUCGGACUCCGAUUCGGAGCCGUACGAUUCCCACUCGGAUUAGAUUUUGUUGUAUAGUAGUGUAACAUGGUUAGAUAAUUAUGAUGGUUAAAGUUAUACUGUUAUUGUAUUGAAUGAAUUUGUCAUGUUUUGAAUUAAUAAUGGAAUGUGAAUUUUGCGUUCGUUAUGGAUUUAUUGUGUUUUUAGGUAUGGUUUCUGUGUGAUUGAUGUGAUGUGUUUUUGUGUAUGGUGAGAAUUGGUAACUGAUUGGGAAUUUCGGAUCAUGUGUUUUGAACAUGUGAGGUUGUCUGGUUAUGAUUGGAUGCGUGCUCCAACAAGUUUAUCAGGUGUGUUCCCAAUCCACAACUCUCAAUGUUGAAGCCACUGGUGAUGUAACCCGAAGUUCAAAUCUGAAGGACAAUUAUCAAGGCCUGUCAAGAAAAAUACUCUCCUUGUGAGGUUUUGUAGCUUAUAGGUAUUGGAAUGUUAUUGUAAUGGCUGGAAAAUGGCUUAUAAAUUACAAUUAAUCAUGUUAUCUAUUGCACAAAAGUCUUUAGUGGAUAAGCACUUGGCAGAAAGUUCACUGUAAGAUAUAACAUGGGAUUUCCGCGGUUCUGAUCUGUUUCAUUUUAUAAAUUAGUUGAUCCCAUUGAAAA